rnacentral:lncRNA from 1 species
AUGGAGAUGACGACUGAUUUAGAGUCCGGGCCGCAACAGUCCACCGAAGAAAGUAAAGGCCAGCUGAAUAGAUGGAAGAGAUUGUCAUGGAAGUUGUGUAUUUACCUUGGUACUAUUGGAAUGCUGGUUGCUUUUCUAAUGGGUUUGGACAUGUCUUGGACUGCACUCACAACAGCCCUCAUUUUUGUGAUUCUUGAUUUCAAAGAUGCAGGGCCUUGCCUAGAGAAGGUAAAUCAACAGGUCUUUCACAAAAAUUCUAUUUGCUUUCCUAAAUAUCUUUUCAACAACUGUAAUACUUCCAUGCAGUAUUCGAUUGAGUAAAAAUCUACUUAUCCGUAGUUGCUUGGAUCAGGUUUCAUACUCUCUUCUGGUAUUCUUUUGUGGAAUGUUUAUCACGGUUGAUGGCUUCAAUAAAACAGGAAUUCCUGGCAGUCUCUGGAGCUUGAUGGAGCCUCAUGCACGGAUCGAUCAUGCUAGUGGGAUUGCUGUGCUGGCCAUUGUAAUACUUCUUCUCUCAAAUGUUGCUUCGAAUGUACCAACUGGUAAGUUGAUGCCCUGAUUCUCUUCCUUUGAUUUCACUACAGCACUACGGCUUUAGAGUCUUAUAGAAGGGCAAUAGUAAUUUCCAGUUAAUAUCACUUCAUGGUAGACAAUUGAGGUCUCCAUCUGGUACCUCUGUUUGUUGUUGGAGAUGAGGGUUUUGUUGGGGGUGGGGGGAGAAAUCUUGUUCACGGGAGCAAAUUUAAGAUAAUGUUGGGUAACUGUCUCGAAGAUUGAAAAGACAGAUAAUAAAGAUAAAAAAACUUGUUCUCUUGUCUUUUUUAUUUUUUAAAAAUAGAAAUUUAUUCUAAAAUUAUUUUAAAAAUAUAUUUAUUUUAUAUUUUUGUUUUCAUCUCUUUAUCCAAACAUGUGUCUGUUAUUUCUAUAUUUAUCCUUUUUAUCUUGAAUCUUUAAAAGGAAGAUGAAAAUUAAUAGUAUUAUUGAUAAAUACAAAGUUAGACUUAUUGUUAAAGGAUUUAGACAACAGGAGAGUAUGAAUUAUUUUGAUACAUAUUUACUUGUAUCUAUAAUAACUUCCAUAAGAAUAUUAAUAAUCAUUGCAGUUAUUAACAAGCUUGAAAUACAUCAAAUGAAUUUUAAAAUAAAUUUUUUAAAUGGUGACCUUGAUGAAGAGGUUUACAUGGAAUAACCUGAGAGGUUUCUUGUUAAUAGACAACAAAAAAAAGUUCGUAAGAGUUGUUCAGGGCCAAAAUAAACACAACAAUGAAAACCAAACAAAUUCUCUCGGUAGAUAGCCAUGUGAGUACUAUUGUCUUGGUUUAUAUAAAAAACUAAAUAGUCCAAGACAUCACGCUCACUAUUUGGUUGAGUAAAAUCAAUAGUAUUUCACCAAGGAAGGUUCAAAGUUAAAAGUUAUCUAUCCUAAUAUAGUGAUCUAUCAAAUCAAUAUCUCUCAACAAAUAUUCAAGUCAUUUUAAAACUAGUAAGAUAAUUUUCAUUCAUGUGGAGGAUUGUUGAAAAUUUAUUUAAAGAAUAUGGUUAAUGGGCACAUUUAAGGCCAAAUUAAAAAUAGGAUCUAAAUUUAUUCGAAUUUAAUCUCCAACAUAUGCUCUUUAAUAUAGAACAUUAACAUGAUUUAAAUAAAUUGUGGGUGAAUGAGAAAUUAUUUCAAAGAACCUUUGGUUUGCAUGUUUUGGUGAAACUCAAAAUCCUUUAAAAAACUUUAUCUCGUAUUAGAAAGAAACAAAGUUUUCCUAGUGUUUAUAUAAUGGGUUAUUGAAGAGUUAAGAUUGGGCUCAAAGGGCACCCAAGUUUUUAGAGGGAAGAAGACUUAAACAAAGUGGACUUUGGGCUUAAACUUUUGUGUUGGCUCAACCCGACUUAUACUCAGGCCUGUGGCCUAGACUUGAGUUUGGAUUCAUUGUAAAAUAAUUUUUUGGAUAACAAUAUUUUUUACCAACUUAAAUUUGGGCUUGGAUUUGGUCCAUGAAGAAUUAUUUCUUAUCGUCACGCCCAUUAUUUUGUCCAUCCCAUGAAAGGAAAAAUCUAAUUAGUUUUUCCAGUAAUUUUUCAAAAAAACAUGAAGAUUUUUUUCUCAACUCAAAAGACAUUUGCUCAAGACAAUGUUUUUCCUGAUUUUAGAUACUCUUCCUUUCCUCAAAUCAUAGUGGUUUUUCUCCUUAUUUUUUAAACUUCUAUAUUCCUUCAAAAUCUAGAGCUUAGGUUCAUUUUGAUGAGAGAUUAUUGAAUCCAUCUACUUUGUUUCAAAGAUUUUGUUUAGAAAUGCAUCUAAACUAAGAUGAUGUUGAAUUUUAAAAGGCUUAUUACAAAUAACUUUUGCACCAAGAGAGAAACAAUAAAAUCUAAAUGACAAAUGAUUUAUUAUUAAUUAUAACAAAAGCUUUGUUAUUUAAAGUGCUUUAAUAAAUAAGUACAUUUUUUUAUUUAAACAUAAAUAUAUUGCUUAAUUAGUAUGCAUGUUAGAGUCUUUUAUAUAUAUAUAUAUAUAUAUAUAUAUAUAUAUAUAUAUAUAUAUAUAUAAUGAUAAACUAAACAAUCUAAUAUGUACUUAUUUUUGGCUUACAAGUUCUUUUGCUUGGAGCAAAGGUAGCUACUUCUGCCGCUGCAAUAUCUCCGAGUAAAGAGAAGAAAGCUUGGCUCAUCCUGGCAUGGGUUAGCACAGUUGCUGGAAACCUUUCACUAUUGGGUUCUGCUGCAAACCUAAUUGUGUGUGAACAAGCUCUUCGUGCCCAGCCUAGUUACAAUAUCACCUUUUGGAGCCAUUUGAAAUUUGGUGUUCCAUCCACACUUAUUGUCACUACUAUUGGCUUAACUCUUAUAUAUUGCUAUGAUGUUUGAAGGGCCUAUUUAAAUUGGGCUCUUCUUUAGGCUUUGGAUCUUUAUAAGGUUCUAGGCCCUUCUGCUUGUAAUUAGGUUUUUAUGCAUGUCACUUUAACUCAGAUUUUCAAAGAUGGAUUUAUGUUUUCCUUUUUUUCUGCCAAGGAAGAAGCAAACUUCUCUUUAGAACAGAUGGUGUAAAAGAAAUGAUCUUCCAUUUGUAUACCAUGUUCCACUGCAAUUAUAUGCAGAAAUCCUAGGCAAGGUAUACUAAGUAAUAAGAGCCCAAAAAAGUUGUCAUAAUUUGAUAUUGUUAGACUCACAAUCCUAUAAUGUAAGUAGUGUCAUACCAAGAAAUCAUCAGCAAUUAAUAGUCUUUAAUACCUUAUAUGUAAGCAGGUAUGAUCUUUAUAUCCUAUAUCAUGGUAGUUGCAUCCCUCAUCUUAAAUGUGGGUGACAAAAAGAUUGAAAGUACAAUUUCAUACCUAGGUAGGAAUUCACUAUGAGUUAAUAACACCCUAAUAAAACCUGGCCUGACCCAACAACUCAACUCAAUAACCUGUCAUCUAGAGCUUAGCUUGAACUAGGUUUUACUUUGAAUUAGUUUUUUUUUUUGUCGACCCACCAACUCAUAAAUUAACCCAUCCAAACUAUUAACGUGAUUUAAACUAAGUUAACUACUAGGUUAGAUUUUAUAACUACAGAUCAUGUUAAAUUGUUUGAAUAGCAUCUACUAGCGUCUAUUGUUAGCAACGUGUCAACAUUCUCAAAUCCAUAGGCCAUCCAACCAUAGACAUGAUAGUUGUUGUCAGCUUUAUUAAAAUAACUAAUUUGCAUUGGAAAACAUUAUUCCCCUAGAUUUAGAAUCAUUGUUCAUCAGAAAGUUUAAUGGUGGUUUUGCCCUUCCCACAAAAAAACCAUUGAAUUGUCUAAUAGAGGCAGUACAGUUUUUCCAUAUGGUCCAGUGGUCAUUAUCAUAUUAUUUAGGGACAAGUAAAUCCUUUCACAUUUUAAAAGCAUAAUGAAACAACUAAAAUAUCAUUGGUAGCAGAAAUUUUAAAGCUGGCGUACAGGGGCUCUUUUCUUCUUUUCAUAUUGAUUUUUUUUUGUGAUAAUUAAGUUGGAUAAUAUGCAAUUUGGUAUUUUAAUAAAUAUAAAAUAUAACUAAAAAAACAAAAGUGGUUGGCGCAUAUAAGGCACGCACCAGUGUGUGUGAGGCGCUCACACUAUUCAAGAUAUGCAUGUGGCGCCUCUCAGUGGCAAAAAAAAACCUUUUCACCAUGUCAUUAGAAUAUUUGUGUCAUCAUCUUCCUUUUAGGAUGAAGUGUGGUGUCAGUGGUGGCGCAAUUUAUUGUUGGCAACAUUUUGUUUCUUUUCCCCUCUUUUCUCUCUUUCCCCUCAAAAUUCAUGAUGGCAAUACAAAAAUUAAGAGAGGUCUUAUGUAUUAAGAGCUUGCCAAUUCCUAUAGCUACUUGAUGUGUGUUGUUGAAUAAUCAUAACUGGAAGAGGUCACAUAACAUGAUGUGCUUGUGCUAAAUGUAUAGUGUUAAGGAUCUAUGAUGAGGUAACCCACACAAAAGUAUUGGGAAACCAUAAUGGGGGUGAACCAUACAUAAAAAGAUGUUUGUGGUAUUUGACAGUUUCUAACUGAGAUUUGAACAGUUCUUUCUAGCCUGAAAAUACUGAUGCAAGAACUUAAAAAAAAAUAGAUAUUUUUCAUAGUUAAUUUAAUGUUUUCUAUUCAAUAUUAUUAUGCCUUUUAAUUUUUUUUCCUAUUUAAAGAGAAUAUUUUUCCUAUUCUAUAAUAGGGUUUUUUAGUUUUUCUAUAUAAAGGGUUAUAAUAGUUUUUUGGAAAAUGAAGACUUAGACAAGUAAAAAUUGAAUAUUUUAGGUGUCUCCCCCUAUAUUUAUGAAGAGUUUUGAUUUGUAAUAAAUCUGGUUAUUCUUUGCCCUGUCUAUGUCAAAAACACACAAAUAUCAUAAUAAAACUUGAAAAAAAAGAAAUAUUUAUCAAAACAUUACAUAGUUGUUUUAGUAAAUAGAACUUCUAAAUAAUUUAUUUAUGAUCCAUACAAUCUAAGAGCUAAUAUAUUUAAAAUAAAAUUCAUUAAGGUUAGUUAAUUUUAAAUUAUUUAAUAUAAUUAAUUAUGUAAUUAAAUAUUAAUUAGUUACUAUAAUAGAUCGUUGGUCCACACUACAUUGCAGGCCGGAUUAAAAACAUUUAACGUAAAAAGCAACAUCUAUGCGUUUUUAACAUUUUUCUAGUAGAAAAAAAUUAAAUUGUGUGGGGAUUGACUAAUUGUGACCUGGUUAACUUGGCAAGUUCAAAGACAACCCAGACAACUAAUAAAAAUAUAGUUUCAUUUAAAAAAACUCAAGACGAUAUCUUUUUUAAAAUAUUAAGAUGACAAUAUAUUGGAUCAACUUAGGUCAACCAAUGUUAACCUGCCAAAUCCAACACUCGUGUCAUGAGACCAUGAUAACCCCAUAUAAAGCAAAUCAAAACAAAUUAUGUAGUCUAAUUCCCAAUCAACUCAAUGUUAAAGGAUGAAAUUGAAAAUAAAUAAAUUAAAAAAGACAAAAAAAAACCAACUCGAGUCAACCCGAGUUAACCUGUCAAACUUGCAACCUAAGUCAUAAGAUUGAGAUAACCCUAUAGAAAUCAAAUCAAAAUAAAUUAUGAAGCCCAAUUCCCAAUAAACUCAUUGUUGAAUAAUGAAAUUGAAAAAAAAAUAAAUCCAAAAAAAGAACACAAUAAAAUAACCUGAGCCUACCCGAGUUAACCCGCAAACAAUAACUUCGAUCACGAGACCAAUAUAACCCAAUAAAAAACAAGACAAAACAAAUUAUAAAACUUAAUUCUUAAUUAACCCAUUGUUAAAAUUGAAAUAAAUGUCUAUUAAAAAAAACUUGAGUCAAUUAGGGUAAUAUGCUAAACGAGCAACACGGGUCAUGAGACUAAGAUAAUCACAUAUAAAGCAAACCACAAUAAAUCAUGAAACCCAAUUCUCAACAAACUAAAUAUUAAAGGAUGAAAUUAGAGAGAGAAAAACAUGGAUUAAAAAAAACUAUUGCAAUGAAUAGUAUUGAGUAAGGUGGUGCACAGUAAAAACAUCACCCCUUUUAGUUUUUGUUGAUAAAAAAAUUGAGUUUAUUUAAUUUUAAAAUUUUAAAAUCAUUUUUGUUUUUAAAUAAAAUAAGCAUUUUUCCAUAUCUCAAAAACAUUCCUUCCCAUUCAUUUUAAAAAUAAAAGUUAAUGUUUCUAAUAUGAUUUUAUAAAACCUUAAAAGUUACGCAACAUUUAAAAAAAACUUACUAAAUACAUUUUUUAUGUUUUGCUUUAAAGCAAAGCAAAACAAUAAAGUCUCUGUUUAUUUUUGUAGUACAAUAUAGUGUGGUUUGCGUUUUGCCUCAACCACAUAUUUAAAAAUGUUUGGUUAAUAAACACAUACAAUAGUUUUGCAUACGUUCCAAUGAAAACUCUUUAUUGAAAUCUUGGUUAAGAAAAAGUUACAAUUUGUAGCUUUUCUUAACCUAUGUUUUCAAACCAUAAUCACAAAAACUAUUACAAUGCCAAAGACACACUAAAACCUAGAGAGAUAGGGGAUAUGGUGAGUGGAUGAUGUUGGGAAAUUUCUUCAAUAUUCUUGGCAUAAUAAUGUUUAUUGCAUUAUUUUAUUAGUGGUUAAACUAUUUAGGUUUUGAGGAGAUUAAGGAGACUCCAAGAUAUAAUUUGGUAAAUCAAGCAUAACUUUUAAUCCAACUAUUGGAUUGAGUUAGAAUUUUGACAAAGAAUUUUGAAGGCCAUGUUUCCUAUUAAGUUAAAAAUUCAUGAUGAUUGCAAAUUGAAAAGACCUUUAUAUAAAACUUGAAAGUUAUUGUGCAAGAUUUUUUUUAUUUACCUUAUUAUAUUUGGAUUGUUUUUCUAUUUAUCUAAGGACUUUUAAUUUAAAUAGUAUUUUAUUAUUUAGGAAUCCUAAUGUUAUAUGGAUUCUUUUAGUUAAGUAAGUUUUAAUUAGAAUUCCUUUCCUAUAAAGGAUUCUAGGUAUAAAUAGAGAUGUCUAGUUUAUUAUUUUUCACAUUCAGACUAUUAUUCAAAAUUUAUAAAAUAUCAUUGAGUUUUCUCUAAAUUUCUCUACAACUUAGGCUUGUAAUAUUAGAGCUUAAGGACUCUAGCUUUUAUCAACGUUAUACACCGCGUCAAUACAUAUCAAAGCAGGUUGGUUUUUUUUAUGGUUAAAGAUGGUAGCAACCUACUCCGCGAUGCAGGAGUGAAGGCCCUCUUUUUCUUUUUUUCUUUUUAUCUAGACCCUAGUAUCUAGAAGUCCACUGGACCGCAACUAAUCCGGUUGAGCCAAGUAAGCUAAUUAAAAAGUAAAGCUCUCUUAGUGAUGGUGUACUCCAUUCACAAGGCUCGAACUCGAGACCUUGCUUAAGGGAAACAAGCGCUGAACCACUUGAAUCAACCACCAUUGGUGGAGUGGAGGCUCUCUGAGGCACUAUACGGGCUCGGGAGUAGAAAUUAGAUCGUUGGGAAUGGAGGUUUGAUUGCUUGGAGAAAAUUGUAAUAGAUCUAGCUCAGCUAAUGGGUUUCACAAACAAGGAUCGUGAAGAGGAGAUGAACUUGUCUAGAAAUUUACCUCAAGACAGGCCAAACCCCAAACCCCAUACCUAUUAUUGAAUUCGAUGGGAUUACAUUAUAUGAUAUGAGAUUUUUGAAGAAAGGAUUUAUUAAAAGGUUAACAGAAUUGGAAGUUUACUUUUAUUUCAACAAGGUUCCUUAUCUUCAAAAGGUAGGACUUGUUACACACAAGCUUUAUUAUGGUGCUAGAGAAUGGUGAUUUGAAUUUCUAGACUUUAGAACUCGUAUUGGUACGUCUUUAAUUUCAGUUUGGCAAGAUUUGAGACAAUUAUUAAUUUUGGAGUUUAUACAAGAUGAUUAUUGUUGUUACCCAUUUUUGGGUCCCUACACAUAAAAGGAGAAAAUACAAAAAAAAAAUCAAAAACAUAUAUUCGAAAGAAAACAAAAAAAAUAAUAGUAGUGAGAAGAGGAUGUCGGAGAGCCCAGAAAAUAGCCAAAAAUUGAAAUUUGAUAGUAUAUGUUUUAUUGAUGAAAGACCUGUUGACAAAAAAAAUUCAAUUUGAUAAAGAAAAGUCCAAAAUCAAAUGUUUAUGGACUCAAUUAAAUUUUAUUGAAGGUUUAAUUGAAUUUAUAGAGGGUUUGACUGCAAGAAAAUUGAUUUUGAAGUCAAUUUGAGCUUUAAUUGGAAGAAAUUAAAGUUUAGAGGUCAAAUUAUAAUUUUUAAGAUUUGAUUUGGUCAAAUCAGGGGCUUAAUGACAUAGAUAUUAAAGUUUGAUGGUCAAUUAGGGACUUGAUUAAAGAAAUCUGAAACCAAUGACCAAACUAGAAAAUUGUGCGUAAAUAGAGGGGCUGAAAUUGACUAAAUCAGGGGCCAAAUUGAAAAAAUUAGAAGUUUAUUAAUCAAUUGAGGGUUAAAUUGCAUAAAUUCAAGACUAAGGAUCGAAGCCAACUUCAGGGUCGACGAUUGAAUUUGAUAGGGGUGUAAUUGAAUUGAUUCUUGAAAUCAAAAUUGCAAUUGAGGACUUGAUUAAACAAAUCAUAAAUUAAGGACUGAUUUAGACUUUUGCAUGUUUUUGGCGCCAUUUUUUAAAAAUGAAACGGCGCGUUUUGCACUAAACAACACCAUUUUAGUGCACUGUUCACCACAAAAAAAAGGAAAAGAGGAAAACAGUGUCGUUUUGAACAACAUUGUACUUCUUCUUCUUCUCCUAGACGCACACAGGCAGGGGAAGAAGAAGGAAUUCUCUCCUGUAUUUUCCCUCUCUCUCCCCCCACUUGCUCAAACCCUGACAAAACCCACGCCCUUCAUGGCCUACAACCAUCAUGGAAGGGGUAGAGGAGACAUGCUCUGCAAGCACCUUUGGGGCGACUGUACAAAGGCCACUCCAGCCACCCUACCCUGUCCCAUGACUGGACAGGGGUAAUGUAGCUCCCACUCCCCUACCUUUAUAAAUACUCCCCUCACUAGGUGGUGAGGAUGGUGGGAUGAAAAAACAAAGAUUAUUUAGAAUUGUAUUUGGAUUCUAUUUUCUAUUUAGCUUUGGACUUUAAAUUUAAAUAGUAUUUUAUUAUUCAAGAAUCAUAAUGCUAAAUAGAUUAUAUUAGAUAAUUAAGUUUUAAUUAGGAAUCCUUUUGUGAGGAUUUUAGUUUUAAUUAUAAAUCAUUUCUUAUAAAGGAUUUUAAGUCUAUAAGUAGUAUAUAUAAAUAAGAAUGUCUAGUUAAUUUUAUUCAUAUUUAGAUUUUAUAAAAUACUAAAAUUUUCUCUAAAUUUCUCUCGCAAUUAGAUAUGCAAUUAACUGUAAUACUUCCAUGCAGUAUUUGAUUGAGUAAAAAUCUACUUACCCGUAGUUGCUUGGAUCAGGUUUCAUACUCUCUUCUGGUAUUCUUUUGUGGAAUGUUUAUCACGGUUGAGGGCUUCAAUAGAACAGGAAUUCCUAGCAGUCUCUGGAGCUUGAUGGAGCCUCAUGCACGGUUCGAUCAUGCCAGUGGGAUUGCUGUGCUGGCCAUUGUAAUACUUCUUCUCUCAAAUGUUGCUUCGAAUGUACCAACUGGUAAGUUGAUGCCCUGAUUCUCUUCCUUUGAUUUAACUUCAUAGUACGGCUUUAGAGUCUUAAAGAAGGGCAAUAGUAAUUUCCAGUUAAUAUCACUUCAUGGUAGACAAUUGAGAUCUCCAUGGGAGGAGAAAUCUCUUGAGGCAGUAUUUCUGAGCUGGAGAAUAUGUCAACUUCACCGCUGUCUUGCAUGCUAUUAAUUUCCAGAUACAAUGUUUAAAUAUCUGAAAACGGUCCCACCCCGGUGGCGGAGCCACAUAGGUACGAAAGGGGUCAAUUGUCCUCUUAAUUUUUUUUUAAUAUUUUUUUAUUAGAAUAUUAAUAUAAUAAUUUAGUGAAUGAUUGGGAUAGGAAAGUUGUUAUUGCAGCUCAUUCUCUUUUUUUUUCCUUACUCUAAUUAUGCAAAUUCUCUUUUGUUUUCUCUGCCUCUCUCCCAUAUAUAUGUCCAGCUCGUUCCUUGCUCUCUCCAAUAUAUAAAUUUAUCUUCAAGUAUAGUUAAAUAAUUAACUUUUUUUGCUUUUUACUUUAUAUUUUAAGUAAAUUUCCUUUAUUUUUUUAUUUGUUUUAUUGUCUAAUUUUAAUUUUAUUUUUUUAUAAUUAAUUAUUGAAAAUAUUAGAGUUUAUGAUAAAUAUUUAAGAUUGAUAAUGAAAUUAUUAUGAAGCGGUUUUAAAAUAUAAAAAUUAAAAAAAUAAUAAUUAUAAUGUAAGUUUUUUUAUUUUAAAAUAUUUUAAAAUUAAUUUUAUUUACUAUGAAUAAUUAUAUAUAUUUUGAAUUGAUUUGUAAUGAAUAUAAUUUUGUAAUGAAUUGAUUUGUAAUGAAUAUCUAUAUAAUAUAAUAUUUGUUAAUAAUUUACCUUUUUAUUUAAAAAACUCUUGGUCCGCAGCUGCCCACCUCAUAGGUUCACCUGCACACAUAAGUCCUGAACUGUUAACGUUGUUAUAUGAUGUCUCCGUAGUAUAUUUCCCGCUGGCUGCGACUGAUCCAAAUUCCAUAUCAACUAGCACAAAUAUCUGUGCUCUAGGAACACGCAUUUACUAGAUUUUCAGCAUGGAAUGUCAUGCUAAAGGUUACUUUGGAAAUUGUUUGCUUGCUUUGAAAUGUCUUCGGCUGCUUUGACUGCUUCAGAAGAGAAAAUGUCCAGCAUCUUCAAUCCAUUUCUUAGCCUCUCAUUCUGAUGCGUCUUUUAAACGUAACAUGGAAAUAUUCAUAUGAACUCAUUUAUCUUUCUGGUUCCACAAUCCUUUUUGGAAUCUUUUAAAAGACUUUUAAUAACUUCCAUAUCAACUAGCAAAAAGAUCUGUGCUCUAGGACAACGCAUUUCCCUUUUGCUCAAAAACUACUAGAUUUUCAGCAUGGAACGUCAUGCUAAAGGUUAUUUUGGAAAUUGUCUGCUUGCUUUGAAAUGUCUUCCGCUGCUUCAGAAGAGAAAAUAUUCAGCAUCUUCAAUCCAUCUUAGCCUCUCAUUCUGAUGCGUCAUUUAAACGUAUCAUGGAAAUAUUCAUAUGAACUCAUUUAUCUUUCUGGGUCCACAAUCCUUUUUGGAAUUUUUUAAAAAACUUUUAGAAACUUCCAUCUCACUAGCUCUUAAUGAAUUUGUAGUUUUACUCUUUUCUCAGUUGGUUGCAAAUACUGGUUGAGCUACAGGGUGAUAUCUUCUUCUUUCAGAGCCAGUAAUUUAUUGAAGUUGCAAUGGUGGAGGUCUGCUAAGUGGUAGCUCACAAACAAGCUUAAUCUUGCAAGUUACAGAAAUGGUUCUGGGUUCGUUUAAGAAGGUUGUCUUAGGUUCAGUUGCCUUGGCAAUCUUUUGGAUUUUGGCAGUUUUCCCAGCAGUUCCUUUCUUACCCAUUGGAAGGACUGGAGGUUCCAUCCUCGGGGCAAUGCUUAUGGUUAUUUUCAAAGUCAUCACCCCUGAGCAAGCAUAUUCUGCCAUCAACCUCUCUGUACUGGGCCUUCUCUUUGGAACCAUGGUUGUAAGCAUCUAUCUUGAAAUAGCAGACAUGUUCAAGUACAGAACUCCAGUGUUCAAUUAGGUUGACAGAGUAACUGUGAAGAGAAGAAAGCUUGGCUCAUCCUGGCAUGGGUUAGCACAGUUGCAGGAAACCUCUUGCUGUUAGGUUAUGCCGCAAACAUAAUUGUGUGUGAACAUUCGUGCCCAGCCUAGUUACAAUAUCACCUUUUGGAGCCAUUUGAAGUUCGGUGUUCCAUCCACGCUUAUUGUCACUGCUAUUGACUUAGCUCUUGUAUAUUGCUAUGAUGUUUGAAGGGCCUAUUUAAAUUGAGCUCUUCUUUAGGCAUUGGAUCUUUAUAGAGUUUUAGGCCUUCUGCUUGUAAUUAGGUUCUUAAGCACAGGUCACUUUAACUCAGAUUUUCAAAGAUGGAAUUAUGUUUUCUUUUUUCCUGCCUAGGAUGAAGCGAACUUUUCUUUAGAAGAGAUGGUGUCAAAGAAAUGAUCUUUCAUUUGUAUACCAUAUUCCACUGCAAUUGUGUGCAAAAAUCCUAGGCAAGGUAUACUAAGCAAUAAGAGCCCAGAAAAGUUGUCACAAUUUGAUAUUGUUAGACUCACAAUCCUAUAAUGUAAGCAGUGUUAUGCCAAGAAAUCAUCAGCAAUUAAUAGUCUUUAAUACUUUAUAAGUAAGCAGGUAUGACCUUCAUAUCUUAUAUAGUGGCAGGGUGGCAGCUGCAUCACUCAUCUUAAAUGUGGGUGGCAAAAAGAUUGAAAGUAUAUCUGAUUAGGAAUUCUUAACAACACCCUAAGAAAACUCGACCUAGCCCAACAGCUCAACUUAAUAACCUGUCAUUUAGAGCUUAGCUUGAACUAGGUUUUACUUUGAAUUUUUUUUUUUUUUUAGCCAAAACAACAUUAUUUUAAAUUUUUAUAUAUAAAAAAACCAUAAUUUAGGUCAACUCACCAACUUAUAAAUUAAUCCACUCAAACUGUUAACGGGAUUUAAACUAAGUUAACUACUUAAGUUAGAUUUUAUAACUAUAUAUCAUGUUAAAUUGUUUGAAUAGCAUUUACUAGUGUCUAUUGUUAACGUUUCAACAUUCUCAAAUCCGUAGGCCAUCCAACCAUAGACAUGAUAGUUGUUGUCAGCUUUAUUAAAAGAAACUAAUUUGCAUUGGAAAACAUUAUUCACCUCGAUUUAGAAUCAUUGUUCAUCGGAAAGUUUAAUGUUGGUUUUGCUCUUCCCACAAAAAACCAUUGAAUUGUCUAUUAGGGGUAAUACAGUCUUUCCAUAAGGUCCAAUUAUAGCAACCCUGAUUUUCUAUGUCUUUUUUCGCGAUACAUUAGAAAUUUUCAGGUAAAUUUUUUUUUAUACAGGUUCCACUAAAAUUUUGGCAGAGUCUCCCUUAUAUUAGGAGGUCCCAAGUUAUUGACAAAAUCAUAUUACACUUUUAAUUUUAUUUCACAUUUCGAUCCAAUCAUCCUGGAUCUCAACCCAACUCAUCAUAAUCAACACAACACAUCUUAUUCAAUAACAUCAUAUAAUAUAAUUCAAGUGAAAGAUUCGAUUUCAACUAUAAAUAUGCAUGGUUAAAUCAAAUCUCUUUUACAACAUACAUUUUCCAUCUAUUACCAAUAUCCAUCUAAUAUCCUAUCCCAUUUGUCGAGAAUAAUUUCAUCUUGGAAAUCUCAACACAACUCAAUAGUUUUCGAACAUCAUCUCCUUAUAAAUCAAUUCUCACUUGAUAUUAAGAUAUUCCUCUCUUGCUAUCAUUAGCUUGUCUCAUUCUUUUGGAAUAACUAAUCAAUAUUUUCCCUCUUAUUUUCUGAAAGGUAAUUACCGAUACUAAGAAAUCUCAUUAGUAUCAUUAGUCUCUCAAUAUUGAGUUAGACUAAUCAAUUACAUUCACGUGUCGAUAUCAAUAUAACCGAUUGGUAUCAUUAACUAUUCCUUCCCUAGAAUAGUUAAUGAAAUCUUAUUCAUAUUUGGUUUACCAUCAAAGUUGAUGAUGUCAAGAACCUUUGACAUCAUUAGCCUCCUUACCUAAAGUAGCUAAUCACACCAGAAAUUAUUGUCGAUACCAAUGUGACCCAUUGAUAUCGUUAACUAUUCUCAACCCAAAAUAGUUAAUCAACUUAUCCUUUUCACUUAACUAGGAGUAACCAUGUCGAUGUUAGUAAUCUUUACUAACAUCAUUAGUCACCCAAUUGCUCGGGAUCGACUAAUCAAUUAAAAAAAUGUUGGCACCGAUAAAACCCCAUCGAUACCAUUAGCUAUCCAAACCCGGAUAGCUAAUCAAUAUCAUCUGAAAUGUCGGUACUAAUGGAACCUUAUUUAUACCAUUAGCUAUCAAAACCCGGAUAGCUAAUCAAUGUCAUCUGAAUCUUCCAUUUAUACCAAUCCCCUUCCAUUUUUCUUAUUAACAUAAUAUGCAUUGUAACCACGGUUGCCAAGUAUCAUUCGCAUACAAUCUUAGUUAUCGACACUACAGCCACUAAGCAUCAUUCAGAUAACCUUGUCACCCUCAUCAUAGUGCCAAGUAUCAAUUUAUGCCCUUAGCCACCCUCAUCAUGGUGCUAAGUAUCAUUGUAAUGCGUCAUUAACCACCGACACUAUGGUGACCAAUUAUCUAUCAUUUCUCCUUCAAUCUCUAAGUCAUUGUGAAUAAAUUCAUAAUGAGGUAUGUAAGAUAAUUACGUCUAUUCCAAAGUUAUCAUGACUAAUUCGAUACCUAUCAAUGUAAGGUAAUUGUAUCCAUCCUAAUAAUAAUAUAAUUAAUUUGAUACAUAACAAUGCACACAAGGUAUUAAUAUUCUUUCAAACAUUAUCCUAACUAAUGGAGGUAUACUGUUGUACGCAAGGUACUCUUAUUCAUUCCAAUAAUACCAUCACAAGUUUGAUACAUAUCAAUGUAUGUAAGAUACUCAUAUCCAUUUCAAUUAUAUCAUAACUAGUCGAUACACAUCAAAGCAUGCAAGGUACACAUAUUCAUUCCAAUGUUAUCGAAGCAAUAAAACAAUAAAUUCUGAAAUUUAUUAAUAAGUUACACAAAUUAAAAAGACAAGGUGUGAUGCACCUACCUAGAGUAUGUGCACAUGUUGCCACUCCAUGCAAUUGUCCGAUCCCCAAAGCUUCCCCUGUACCACCAGGGAUUUAGUUUUUAUCAACAAUACAACCAACAUCACAACUUCAUUUAAUUCUCAUUCAACUAGUAUUCUCAAAUUAGUCACAAGGAAUUUUCUUAGAAUCUCAUACUCUUACCCAUUUUCGUGUUCAUAUUCAUUCUUAUUUUAUUAUUAAAACCAUCACUCAACAGCAAUUCCAAGUAAAGAUUAAAAAUUGUCUAAUUCUAAUCAAUUUAGCUUAACCAACCCAGAACAUUAUCUAGUGUUUUAAUCAUAACUAAAGCUGUAAAACUCGGUUUUGGCGUGAUUUGUCUCUGUGAAAGGCUAAAACAUAGAAAUACAACUUUCAUGUAGAAAUCAGCUCCAAAUUAUUUUGUUUUAAGGCUUAAAAUCAAUAAUCACAAUAGCCCCUCCUUUAUAGCUAAAAUUUUGGACAACGAGGAUUUUUAUCCCUUGGAAAUUCUUUUCAACUUCCAACUUAUUUUCAUGCAUAAGCAACAUUAACCAAGGUCAUUUAACAUCAUUAAAUCACAAAUUUAAACCAAUUCUAAAACAAACUAUUUAAACAAUUUCCCUACCUCUAUAAUAUAGCAAGAUUCAGCCAAAAUAGGGGAACUCAUCCCUUUGGAAUUUCUCCUUUUUUUUUACACAUGCUACAUAUGUUAUUAUCCUUGUUUAGCAUUAUUAAUACAACAAAACAAUGAACCAUUUAUUUUCUUUCACUUUCUCCUCGUGUAAUUAAACAUAUACGACAAACCUUAACAAUUAAUAUUAUUACAUCAUUAUCACAACAAUAAUUUCACCCUACUAGUUAGAAUCCAUGAUAAUCUUCAUUAACUAAUCAAUUUGUCAAAAAUAUACUUAUGACUAGCCUUAAAUAUGUUUUAUUUUCCAAAUUUUUUUCAUUUCAAUUUCUUCAUGGUUCCACCCCAUUCAUAUCCACACAGCUAACAAGUUAGCCUUUUAUUCAAUCAGCAUGUUCAUAUAGUAAUGUUCAUUCCUAUUCUUACACCAUAAUCAUUCUACCCUACCUAUAAAGAAUACACAAUUAAUCUAUAACAAUAUUAAUAACAACAUAUUUACCAUUACAUCUUCCAUAAACCCUAACACCUACACAAUUCUAAUUUCAUCAAAACAUGUAUUUAAUCAAGUUUCCUAAAUUUUGCCAAAACUAACAAUAGAUUCAAAAAGCAAUAAGUCAUCUACCUUAGAUUUCAUUUUCUAACCCAACAGUCAGAAUAUAGAUCUUGGAUUCGUGCACAAUAUAUCUCAAAAUCGGAAUGAUCCAACGGUUAAGCCUCCCUAGAUCUGAAUAAAACCGAGCUAACCUGAAAAAUGAUGAGCUAUUGUUUAACAUGAAUGACACCCUUCCGAAGAGUGUGUUUCCGAUCUCCACCGUCCAGAAUGAAGGAAACAUCUAGGCGCACUAUAUAUCCAAAUAAGACAUGAUCCAGCGGUCAAAGAUAGAGAAAUCGACCAGCCAUCAAAACUACCCUGCAGGUGUAUUUCCUUUUGUUUUCCAGGAAAUAUCUGAAGAUGAUUUCUGUCAAACGGGUUAUGUGCUUUCAAAUCCCUCUAGCUAGUUAGUAGAAGUGUGUGAGAAGAAUAAUAUAUCUAUAAAGCAGUGUGAUCCAACGGUGGCUUCCAACGAUAUGGCCACCAGAGCAUUAUUGCCUUCUUUGGAUUGGCUCCAAAUUAUGCACUUCUCUCUCUAGCCGAAUUUCUCUAUUGUCUCUCACCUUUUUUUCUAGACUGGUUGGAUUCUUUGCUGUUUUAAAGGCAUAUUUUCCAUUAAUUAUAAUUUUGUCCCUUAUUUAUGCCUUUAUGUAUUUUAUUUUAUUUUUCACGUAAACUAUUUGGUUUGUUUCUACUUAAAUCGCUAGUAUUUACCGAACUCUGAUUGGGAUGAAAUAUUUAACCAAGGUAGAAAAACAUAUAAAUAGACUUUAUGCAAAAUUGCAUCUCGAUCUGGCGAUUGGAUUGAGAGCUUUGCUUUCUAAUGUAAAAUUGGUCAGUUUAUUACUUUUCAUCAACAAUCUAAAUUUUCUUAUUCAAUCUUCACAUAACAUCAUAUCAAUUAUCAUUCUAAACCUUUAAGGUCAUUUUAUUAUUUUGAAAUAUAUUCAGUUUAAAAUUUUCACCUUUAUUUAUUUAUCGGGCUUAUUACCGUUUUAAAGUAACGUCACUGAUUUUUAAUCGGUGUUUGCACCUUCAUUCUUGCCCUUUUCAUUGCAUUAUCCUUUAUUAUAAUUUAUUCUUUAUUACCUCACUUAUUCCCUAGAAACAUUAUGUCAUUUUACUUAUUAUUUUAUCCAUCAAAACGUGUUACUAAUUUCUCUGUCCUUAUGAAUUCUAAACCAAAAUUCAUUUUAUGAAGGUCAUCCCCUCCAUUAUAUAUCAUAUUUAUCUAUUAUUUCUUAUCUUGGUUUUCAUCACUCAUCAAGAUCGUACCAUUUUCAGUCUUAUGUUUACAUGGAAGUUUACACAUCCGCAUAUUUAAAUUAUAAAUUUCUAGGGUUUCACACCAAUGGUCAUUAUCAUAUUGUUCAGGGACAAGUAAGUCCUUUAGCAUUUUAGAAGCACAAUGAAACAACAAAAAUAUCUUUCUUUUCAUAUUGAUUUUUUUUAUGACAAUUAAGUUGGAUAAAAUAUAAUUUGGUAUUUUAAUAAAUAUAAAAUAUAACUAAGAAACAAAAAUGGUUGACGCAUGCAAGGCAUAAACCAGUGUGUGUGAGGCACUUGCACUAUUCAAGAUGUGCAUGUGGCACCUCUCGGUGGCAAAAAAUACCUUUUCACCAUGUCAUUAGAAUCUGUGUCAUCAUCUUUCUUUUAGGAUGACUCGUGGUGUCAGUGGUGGCACGAUUUAUAGUCAACAACAUUUUCUUUCUUUUCCCCUCUUUCCUCUCUUUCCCCUCAAAAUUCAUGAUGGCAAUACAAAAAUUCAAAGAGGUCUUAUUUAUUAAGAGCUUGCCAAUUCCUAAUAGCUACUUGAUGUGUGCUGUUGAAUAAUCAUAACUGGAAGAGGUCACAUAACAGGACGUGCUUAUGUCAAAUGCAUAGUGUUAAGAAUCUAUGAUGAAGUGACCCACACAAAAGUAUUGGGAAACCAUAAUAGGGUGAGCCACACAUAAAAAGAUAUUUGUGGUGUUUGACAGUUUCUAGCUGAGAUUUGAAUAGUUCUUUUUAGCCUGAAAAUACUGAUGCAAGAACUUUUUAAAAAAAACAUAUAUUUUCAUAGUUAAUUUUAUGUUUUUCUAUUCGAUAUUAUUAUGCUUUUUUAAUUUUUUUCCUAUUUAAAGGGAAUAUUUUCCUAGUUUAUUUUUCAUAUUCUGUAAUAGGGUUUUUUAGUUUUUCUCUAUAAAGGGUUAUAAUAGUUUUUUUGGAAAAUAAAGACUUGGACGAGUAAAAAUUGAAUAUUUUAGGUGUCUCUCCUAUAAUUAUGGAGAGUUUUGACUUGUAAUAAAUCUAGUUAUCUUUUGCCCUGUUUGUGUCAAAAACACACAAAUAUCAUAAUAAAACUUGAAAAAAAAGAAACAUUUAUCAAAACAUUACAUAGUUUUUUUAGUAAAUAGAACUUCUAAAUAAUUUAUUUAUGAUCCAUACAAUCUAAGAGCUAAUAUAUUUAAAAUAAAAUUCAUUAAGGUUAGUUAAUUUUAAAUUAUUUAAGAUAAUUAAUUAUGUAAUUAAAUAUUAAUUAGUUACUAUAAUAGAUUGUUGGUCCAAACUACAUUGCAGGUCGGAUUAAAAACAUUUAACAUAAAAAGCAACAUCUAUGCGUUUUUAACAUUUUUCUAGUAGAAAAAAAUUAAACUGUGUGGGGAUUGAUCAAUUGUGACCUGGUCAACUUGGCAAGUUCAAAGACAACCUAGACGACUAAUAAAAAUAUAGUUUGAUUUAAAAAACUCAAGACGACAUCUUUUUUAAAAUAUUAAGAUGACAAUAUAUUGGAUCAACCUAGGUCAACUAAGGUUAACCUGCCAAAUCCAACACGCGUGUCAUGAGACCAUGAUAACCCCAUAUAAAGCAAAUCAAAACAAAUUAUGUAGUUCAAUUCUCAAUCAACUCAAUGUUGAAGGAUGAAAUUGAAAAAAUAAUUAAUGAAAAAAGAUAAAAAAAACUAACUCGAGUCAACCCGAGUUAACUCAUGUUUCCUGCUAAGUUAAAAAUUCAUGACUAUUGGAAAUUGAAAAGACCUUUAAAUAAGACUUGAAAGUUAUUGUGCAUGAUUGUUUUUAUUUACCUUGUUAUAUUUGGAUUCUUUUUUCUAAUUAUCUUAGGACUUUUAAUUUAAAUACUUUUUUAUUAUUUAGGAAUCCUAAUGUUAUAUGGAUUUUAUUAGUUAGGUAAGUUUUAAUUAGUGAACAUGGGUAUAGCUCUUAAUUUUAGAAUGGGAAGAAUCAUAAUAUGUAGGAAUACGUAGAAAAUAAAUAGUGUAGAAGAAAAGAGAAGUGAGGUUGGCAGAAAACUCACUUAGGAAUCGCCGAUGAAUUUUGGGCAAAUUCAUCAUGCAUGUUCUAAGGGAUAUUUGGGCCUCAGAAUGAUAAAAUUUAGGAAACACCUCUCAGAGAAAUUGUAUCAUGAAAUGUUAACUUUUCAACGAAUUCGACCUCGCUCGAUUUGGAGCUCUAAAGCUCCAGAUAUAUGUGAAUAUAUAAGUAAAGGUCAAACUGCCGCCCCUGCUGACAGAUUUAACGAGAAUUAUUAAAAUAGUGGAUUUUGCCGCGAUAGGGGCAGAAAACCAGUUUCCUUCCUACCAAAAUUUUUGUAACAUUGAAUCGUGACUCUGGUAGGGAAUAAACCGCAUUUAAAAAUGAAGUUGAUGAUGUGCGUAAUGAUUUAAAACAAUGAAACGUAAAGAGUAAAUAUUGUUGUUGAUGCCUUGCUAUUUGCGAAAUGGAAACUGCACAUGAAGUGAUAUGGUAUACUUGUGAAUUCAGGAGGAACCGCAGAGAUAGUACAACAACAACAAGGGAACACAAAUCGAGCAUCAGUGGCAAGUAGGUGUUCCAUGCCUACACUCUCCUUAAUUGAUAAUAAACCUUGUAUUCAAAUUUAUGUUAGAGUCAAUACUUAUGAAUAUGGCUAAAGAAAGGAAAGAUAUGGUGAAACGGACAUGGAAUGAAAUCUGAUUUUUGGUCGUAGACUCUUGGACCUUGAUUUCGAAUAAGGACCAAUUUGAAGAAAAAAAAACCUAAAACAACCACCUUUAGACUUGAUUAGUUGAUCUCCAACAGGGGUGGCUAAUGAUGUUAGCAAAAAUUGUUAACAUCGGCAUGAUCUUGAUGGAAUUAUAAUGAACAUUGAACUUGAUUAACUAUUUGUAUCAAGAAUAGUUAAUGAUACCAACGGAUAAUGUCAGUAUCGGCAAUCCCAUAAUAACUUGAUUAGCUUCCUAAGGAGGAAGUUAAUGAUGUCAAGAGAACUUGGCACUGGCUUUAUUGGAAACACCUCCAAAUGAGAUGGAAAGGAAUUGAUUGAUUAUUUCGAGUUGGAAAUAGUCAAUGGUAUCGACCGAUUAAAUUGGUACCAACAUUACUAAGGAUUUGAUUAGUCGGUCCGGGUAAGGGUGACUAAUGACACUAAUAGGAGUUAUUAGUGUCAGCAGCGACCUCCUCAGAACUUGGGGCAGAGUAAUGAGAUGGAUGUAUCCGAUGAAGAAUAAUAUGUAAUAAUUAAGAGAAAACCAUAGGUGGUUGUGGAAGGAUAGGCUCUAUAUGUAGUAAAGGAAGCGUCAAGUGUGUUCUUUUUUUAUGGAUCAACGAUGUUAUGCCCUAUUGGUUGUGCACUUGUAUACAUAGAUACAUCUAGUAGUGACCCUCCAUUAAUUUGUUGUAUUUUAUUUAUUUAAUAUAAUUAUUCUCAUAUUUUGAUGAUACGGGUCUCUCUCAUUCAUGCCAGGAGUAGUGUCCUAGAUGUUUACUUCUUUUGCACGAGUUAGAAAAUUAGCGCCUCAAAUUCUUUUGUAUGAAUUAGGAAUUUCAUUUUCUUAAUUCCUUUUGUAUAAAUUAGGGGUCAUCAUUUCUACUUCUUUUGUAUGAACUUAGAAUGAAAUGAAUAUUGAAGUAUGUUGCUUUAAUUAAUUAUAUGACUUGAGUGAUGUUAGUAUUUUCUUAUGUAAAUCCUUGAGACUUAAGGCCUCUAUUAAUUUAUGUUUUUAAUAUUAAUGUUGCUAAUCAAGUUUAUUACUAUUAGUUUGUGUUGUAAAACUCUAUGCUGAGUUGAAUCUAUGGAAUUCUUAUAUUAUGACUAUUAAUGGUUGUAACUGCGAUGCAACAUAAAUAUGUGGUGAUUAUGGAAUGAACAUAAAUUAUGUGCAGGAUGAAUUGUCGAUAACUUGGGAUCUUCUAAUAUAGAAGAGACUACCAAAAUUUUGGUAGAAUGUGAAAUAAACCGCUAUAAAAAAAAAUUCUACCUAUAAAAUUUUAGUAAUAAACCACUUGAACUAACCAUCAUUGAUGGAGUGGAGGCCCUCUAAUGCACUAUACGGGCUCAGGAGCAUAAAAUAGAUCGUUGGGAACGGAGGUUUGAUUGCUUGGAGCAAACCAUAACAGAUCUAGCUCAGCUAAUGGGUUUCGCAAACAAGGAUCGUGAAUAUGAGAGGAACUUUCCUAGAAAUUUACCUCCAGAUAGGCCAAACCCCAUACCUAUUCUUGAAUUCGAUGGGAUUACAUUCUAUGAUAGGAGAUUUUUGAAGAAAAGAUUGAUUACAUUAUUAACAGAAUUGAAAGUUUACUUUUAUUUUAAAAAGGUCCAUAUCAUUAAAAGGUAAGACUUGUCACAUAUAAACUUUAUUAUAGUGCUAGAGAAUGGUGAUUUGAAUUUCUAGACUUUAGAACUCGUAUUAGUAUGUCUUUAAUUCCAGCUUGGCAAGAUUUGAGACAAUCAUUAAUUUUAGGGUUUAUACAAGAUGAUUAUAAAAGAGAUUUUAUAUUGAGUAAAUAAGCAAUUAUAUUGUUAUUAUUUGCUUUUUGUUAAACCUUCCAAAAUAGCAAGUAAGAAAAUUAUAGAAAAGGUGUCGUCUUUUCAAGGCAGAUAGUUUCAACAUCACAACAAUGACACCAACAACACUGCUGCAAAUACUAUUCUAAUUGUUAAUGUUUCAUCAAUUAAUGGUAAAGAAGAAAUCAAGAAGGCUUCUAAAUUAGUAUUUUGUAGUGAUUCUAAAGAUCUUGCAAAAAAAAAAACAUGGAGUACAUGGUAAUUUCUGACAAUUCUUUUAAAGAUAUAUAUUAUGAAAGAUUAUCUUAAAGUUUCUUUACAUACAAUGGUUAAAGUAUUGAAGAUCAUGGAUGAACUCAAGUUUGAAGCAAAAGAAUGUGGGAAGGAACUAUAAGUGAACUUCAUAAAAAUAUAAAGUAUAAUAUUAAUAUGGAUUAUGUUUUAGAAAGCACACAUCAUAAAUUAAAUUUUGGAGUUCACAUGUUAAAGACAUAGUACUUUGUGAAUAUAUUGGUUACAAUGUUAUAUAUUUGUUCAUUUAGAGUAGAAGAGUUCAGUUUUUUAUAGAUAACUUGAGGACAAGUUUUUCAAAAGUAAAAGGAACUGGCAUGUUCAUUAUUCUUGACAUAAUAAUGUUUAUUAUAUUAUUUCAUUAGUGGUUAAGACUUACAGGUUUUAAAGAGUUUAAGAAGAGUUCAAGAUGUAGUUUGGUAAAUCAAAUAUAAUUUUUAAUCCAAUUGUUGUAUCAAGCCAAACUUUUAACAAAAAAUUCUGAAAAUCUUGUUUUCUACUAGGUUAAAAUUUUAUGACAAUCAAAGAUCAUGAAAGCUUUUAAAUAAGGCUCGGAAGUUAUUGUGCUAAAUUGUUUUUAAUUACCUUGUUGUAUUUAGAUUUUUUUUUCCUAUUUUGCUUAGGGUUUUAAUUUAAAUAGUAUUUUAUUAUUUAAAAUUGUAUUUAGAUUCUUUUUUUUAUUUUUCUUUGGACUUUUAAUUUAAAUAAUAAUAUUUAAGAAUCCUAAUGCUAAAUAGAUUUUAUUAGAUAGUUAAGUUUUAAUUAGGAAUCCUUUGAUUGAGGAUUUUAGUUUUAAUUAGAAAUUUUUCUUCUAGAGAAUUCUAAGUCUAUAAGUAGAAUUAAUAGAAAUAUCUAGUUAGUUUUAUUCAUAUUUAAAAUUUAUAAAAUAUUAUAAAUUUCUCUAAAUUGAAAUCGUAAUAUUAGAGCUCGAAAAGCGUCCGGACAUCGUGAAAUUGAAAUCCACUUUGUAUCCAGGCCAUUUACUAAAUAGGUAGAGCCAAGUGAACAUCUUGCUAUUAACAUCUAUUCAAACAAAGCAAAACAAAAGCUUAAAAGGGGAGAAAGCGAGGAGAAGCUGCAAAAUCCUAAAAUCUUCAUUGAGUUCUAUACAAAAUAAUAAACUUAAAAGAUGGAGAAAAUAUGAACUCUACUCAUUCAAGCCUCAUUUCUUGCUUGCUUUGAAAUGUCUUCAGCUGCUUUGACUGCUUCAGAAGAGAAAAUAUCCAGCUUCUUCAAUCCAUUUCUUAGUCUCUCGUUCUGAUGCGUCUUUGUAAACGUAUUCAUGGAAAUAUUAAUUUCCAGUUAAUAUCACUUCAUGGUAGACAAUUGAGGUCUCCAUCUGUUUCCUCUGUUUGUUGUUGGAGGAGAGGGUUUGGUUGGGGGUGGGGGGAGAAAUCUUGUUCAAGGGAGUAAGUUUAAGAUAAUGUUCAGUAACUGUCUCAAAAAUAAAAAAGACAAAGGAACAUUUUUCCUUUUCUUCUAUAUUUUAAAAAGACAGAAACUCACUCCAAAACUGUUCUAAAAAUAUAUUUAUUUUAUAUCUUUGUUUUUGUCUUUUUAUCCAAACACGAGUAUGUUAUUUUAUAUUUAUUUAUUUUUUAAUCUUGAAAUACUAACCAAUCACAUUUUAAAACAAUUUUUAUUCAACCUAAACAUGCACUCUCUUUUUCGAGGAGAUAUCAUUCAUUGAAUUUGAAACAUGGUUAAAAAAUUUUGGUUGUGGGGUUUUUUGCUUCAAGAGAAAAACAAAUAAACUAGUUACCAUCACAAGACUUUAGAGUGAAAAAGAUAUUUUUGUUUUUUUAUCCCCUAAGCAGCUCAAAUUUAAUAAAAAAAAACAUUCCAAAGAAAAUGUUUGAAAGUAAAGUAUACUUUUUUUAUUUAACACAGAUUAUAACAUAUCCCAUUGCUUCAAACAUGUUGUUACAAAGAUUUAGAAGCCAAGCUCAUAUGGUGACUCUAUUUUCCUAGAGCCGUGUAUUCGUGUUGGUGAUGUUACGAGGAUCAAGAGUGUGCGUUCAUGCAAGGAUCAGGUAUGUAGAGUCUCUUACGGCAGUAUUUCUUCACUGGAGAAUAUGUCAACUUCACUUCUGUCUUGCAUGCUAUUAAUUUCCAGAUACAAUGUUCAAAUAUCUGAAAACGGUCCCACCCCGUAGGUCCACCUGCACACACAAGUCCUAAAUUUCUUACGUUGUUAUAUGAUGUCUCAGUAGUAUAUUUCCCGCUGGUUGCGAAUGAUCCAAAUUCCAUAUCAACUAGGAAAAAGAUGUGUGCUCUAGGACCACGCAUUUCCCUUUUGCUAAAAAACUACUAGAUUUUCAGCAUGGAAUGUUGGAAAUUGUUUGCUUGCUUUGAAAUGUCUUCGGCUGCUUUGACAGCUUCAGAAGAGAAAAUAUCCAGCAUCUUCAAUACAUUUCUUAGCCUCCCAUUCUGAUGCGUCUUUUAAACGUAUCAUGGAAAUAUUCAUAUGAACUCAUUUAUCUUUCUGGUUCCACAAUCCUUUUCGGAAUUUAAAAAAAAACUUUUAAUAACUUCCAUCUUACUAGCUCUUAAUAAAUUUGUAGUUUUACUCUUUUCUCAGUUGGUUGCAAAUACUGGUUGAGCUACAGGGUGAUAUCUUCUUCUUUCAAGCCAGUAAUUUAUCUGAAGUUGCAAAGGUGGAGGUCUGCCAAGUGGUAGCUCACAAACAAGCUUAAUAUUGUAAGUUACAGAAAUGGAUCUGGGUCCGUUUAAGAAGGUUGUCUUAGGUUCAGUUGCCUUCGCAAUCUUUUGGAUUUUGGCAGUUUUCCCAGCAGUUCCUUUCUUACCCAUUGGAAGGACAGCAGGUUCCAUCCUCGGGGCAACUCUUAUGGUUAUCUUCAAAGUCAUCACCCCUAAGCAAGCAUAUGAUGCCAUCAACCUCCCUGUACUGGGCCUUCUCUUUGGAACCAUGGUUGUAAGCAUCUAUCUUGAAAGAGCAGACAUGUUCAAGCACUUGGGAGUCUUGCUCUCAUGGAAGAGUCGGGGUGCGAAGGACAUGCUCUGCCGGAUCUGCAUUGUUUCUGCCAUUUCAAGUGCUCUGUUCACUAAUGACACCGCAUGUUUCUUUCUCACUGAGUUCAUAUUAAAGAUUGCUAGACAAAACAAUAUUCGACCCGAACCUUUCUUGCUUGGGUUGGCUUCAAGUUCGAAUAUUGGAUCCUCUGCAACUCCAAUCGGCAACCCUCAAAACUUGAUAAUUGCUAUUCAUAGUCGCAUCUCUUUUGGGGAAUUCGUAUUGGGACUUCUUCCCGCGGUGCUUGUGGGUGUCUUUGUGAAUGCUUUAAUUCUUAUAUGCAUGUUUCGGAGGUUGUUAUCUGAUGUUAAGGAAGAAGAAGAUGCUUUGUAUGAAAUGAUUGUUCAGGAAGAUUCAGCUGUCCAUCAGAUUUCGCUUGCUACCAUGUCAUCUCCCAAUUCUUUGGAAUAUCACGAAUAUGAUCCCAUUGCAGAACAUGUGAACGCCCAGAGGAUGUGUGAAUUGGAUAUGUGCAGUGAUUCCUGUGGUGAAAUUGAGCUGAUGAAAGCAGUCCUUUCAAAGAAGGAGGCAACUGAUAAUAUGUUUUCUGAAAUAGGAGAGCCAAUGGAGGAAAGAUUUGCAAGGGGUGGAGUACAAGGGACCAUGGAGAUGAUGACUGAUUUAGAGCCCGGGCCGCAACAGUCCGCUGAAGAAAGUAAAGGCCAGCUGAAUAGAUGGAAGAGAUUGUGUAUUUACCUUGGUACUGUUGGAAUGCUGGUUGCUUUUCUAAUGGGUUUGGACAUGUCUUGGACUGCACUCACAGCAGCCCUCAUUUUUGUGAUUCUUGAUUUCAAAGAUGCAGGGCCUUGCCUAGAGAAGGUAAAUCAACAGGUCUUUCACAAAGAUUCUAUCUCCUCUCCUAAAUAUAUUUUCAUCAACUGUAAUACUUACAUGCAGUAUUCGAUUGAGUAAAAAUCUACUUACCCGUAGUUGCUUGGAUCAGGUUUCAUACUCUCUUCUGGUAUUCUUUUGUGGAAUGUUUAUCACGGUUGAUGGCUUCAGUAAAACAGGAAUUCCUACCAGUUUCUGGACCUUGAUGGAGCCUCAUGCACAGAUCGAUCAUGCUAGUGGGAUUGCUGUGCUGGCCAUUGUAAUACUUGUUCUCUCAAAUGUUGUUUCGAAUGUACCAACUGGUAAGUUGAUGCCCUGAUUCUCUUCCUUCGAUUUAACUACAGCACUACGGCUUUAGAGUCUUAUAGAAGGGCAAUAGUAAUUUCCAGUUCCAAUAUCACUUCAUGGUAGACAAUCCAGGGAGAAAUCUUGAUCAAGGGAGCAAGUUUAAGUUACGUUUGGUAACUGUCUCGAAAAUAAAAAAUCACAGAGAUAACAAGGACAAAAGGAACAUGUCUCCUUUUCCUUUCUAUUUUAAAAAGAUAAAAAUUCAUUUCAAAAUUAUUUUAGAGAUAUAUUUAUUUUAUAUUUUUGUUUUUAUCUCUUCAUCCAAACACAUAUCUAUCAUUUUUAUAUUUACUUUUUUUUAUCUUGAAAUACUAACCAACCACAUUUUAAAACAAUUUUUAUUCAACCUAAACAUGCACUCUUUUUCGAGGAGAUAUCAUUUAUUGAAAUAUGGUUAAAAAAUUUUGGGUGUGGGGUUUUAGAUUCAAGAGAAAAAACAAAUAAACUAGUUACCAUUAAAAGACUUUAGAGUGAAAAGUAUGUUUUUUGUUUUUUUAUCCCUUAAGCAGCUCAAAUUUUGAAGAAAACAUUCCAAUGAAAAUGUUUGAAAGUAAAGUAAACUAUUUUUUAACACAUAUUAUAACGUAGAUCAUUGCUUCAAACAUGCUGGUUCAAUGUUAGUUGUGUUGGAAUUGAAAACAUGGUUAAUGAAUCAGUUAAAGACAAAUGAUAAUAUGUGUUUUCCUUUAAAAAACAUAAAAAAAUAAUUCAUUUAAGAAAAUAAUCGAGGCUAGCUCGAGUAGUCAUGAUCAAUCAAAUUAUUUAACUUUUUAACUUCAAAAAUCAAUUAUAAAUGAGGUGAAGAAAGAGUUCACGACAAUGUUUUUUUUAUUUUUAGAUACGCUUCCUUUCCUCAAAUCAUAGUGGUUUUUCUCCUUAUUUUUUAAACUUCUAUAUUCCUUUCAAAUCUAGAGCUUAGGUUCAUUUUAAUAAGAGAUUAUUGAGUUCAUCUACUUUGUUUCAAAAAUUUCGUUUAGAAGUGCAUGUAAACUAAGAUGGUGUUGAAUUAUAGGAGGCUUAUUGCAAAUAACUUUUGCACCAAGAAAGAAGCAAUAAAGUCUAAAGAAUAAAUGAUUCAUUAUUGACAAUAACAAAAGCUUUAUUAUUUAAAAUGCUUCAACAAAUAAGUAUAUUUUUAUUUAAACAUAGGUAUAUUGCAUACAUGUUAUAGUCUUUAUAUAUAUAUAUAUAUAUAUAUAUAUAUAUAUAUAUAUAUAUAUAUAUAUAUAUAUAUGUUUUAAUAAUGAUAAACUAAACAAUCUAAUAUGUACUUAUUUUUGGCUUACAAGUUCUUUUGCUUGGAGCAAAGGUAGCUGCUUGUGCCGCUGCAAUAUCUCCUAGUAAAGAGAAGAAAGCUUGGCUCAUCCUGGCAUGGGUUAGCACAGUUGCUGGAAACCUCUCGCUAUUGGGUUCUGCUGCAAACAUAAUUGUGUGUGAACAAGCUUUUCGUGCCCAGCCUAGUUACAAUAUCACCUUUUGGAGCCAUUUGAAGUUUGGUGUUCCAUCCACGCUUAUUGUCACUACUAUUGGCUUAGCUCUUGUAUUGGCUUAGCUCUUGUAUAUUGCUAUGAUGAUUGAGAGGCCAAUUUAAAUUGGGCUCUUCUUUAGGUUGUAGACCUUUAUAGGGUUCUAGGCCCUUCUACUUGUAAUUGGGUUUUUUAAGCACAUGUCACUUUAACUCAGAUUUCCAAAGAUGGAAUUAUGUUUUCCUUUUUUCCUGCCUAGGAAGAAGCAAACUUCUCUUUAGAACAGAUGGUGUCAAAGAAAUGAUCUUCCAUUUGUAUACCAUGUUCCACUGCAAUUAUGUGCAGGAAUCCUAGGCAAGGUAUACCAAGCAAUAAGAGCCCAAAAAAGUUGUCACAAUUUGAUAUUGUUAGUGCUCAUAUCCUAUAAUGUAAACAGUGUCAUACCAAGAAAUCAUCAGCAAUUAAUAGUCUUUAAUAAUUUAUAUGUAAACAGAUAUGACCUUCGUAUUCUAUAUAGUGGCAGUUGCAUCCCUCAUCUGAAAUGUGGGUGGCAAAAACAUUGAAAGUACAAUUUCAUACCUGGGUAGGAAUUCAAUAUGAGUUAAUAACACCCUAAUAAAACUUGGCUUGGUCCAACAGCUCAACUCAAUAACCCGUCAUCUAGAGCUUAGCUUGAACUAGGUUUUACUUUGAAUUAGUUUCUUUUUUUUUACCAAAACAAUAUUAUUUUAAAUUAUUAUAUAUAAGAAAACCAUAACUUGUGUUAACCCACCAACUUAUAAAUUAACUCACCCAAACUGUUAACAGGAUUUAAACUAAGUUAACUACUAGGUUAGAUUUUGUAACUACAUAUCAUGUUAAAUUGUUAGAAUAGCAUCUGCUAGCGUCUAUUGUUAGCAAUGUUUCAACAUUCUCAAAUCCAUAGGUCAUCCAACCAUAGACAUGAUAGUUGUCAGCUUUAUUAAAAGAAACUAAUUUGCAUUGGAAAAAAUUAUUCACCUAGAUUUAGAAUCAUUGUUCACCAGAAAGUUUAAUUGUGGUUUUGCCCUUCCCGUAAAAAACUAUUGAAUUGUCUAUUAGGGACAGUAUAGUAUUUCCAUAAGGUUCAAUGGUUAUUAUCAUAUUAUUCGGGGACAAGUAAAUCCUUUUACAUUUUAGAAGCAUAAUGAAACAACUAAAAUAUCAUUUGUAGCAGAAAUUUUAAAGCUGGUGUACAUGGGCUCUUUCUUUUUUUCAUAUUGAUUUUUUUUUGUGAUAAUUAAGUUGGAUAAGAUGUAAUUUGGUAUUUUAAUAAAUAUAAAAUAUAACUAAAAAAAAAAAUGGUUGGCGCACGUAAAGCACACACUAGUGUAUGUGAGGCGCUCACACUAUUCGAGAUGUGUAUGUGGUGCCUCUAAGUGGCCAAAAAUACCUUUUAUCCAUGUCAUUAGAAUCUCUGUGUCAUCAUCUUCCUUCUAGGAUGGCGCGUGGUGUCAGUGAUGGCACAAUUUAUUAUCGGUAGCAUUUUCUUUCUUUUCUUCUCUUUUCUCUCUUUCCCCUUAAAAUUUGUGAUGGCAAUACAAAAAUUAAGAAAGGUCUUAUUUGUUAAGAGCUUGUCAAUUCCUAAUAGUUACUUGAUGUGUGUUGUUGAAUAAUCAUAACUGGAAAAGGUCAUAUAACAGGAUGUGUUCGUGUCAAAUGUAUAGUGUUAAGGAUCUAUGAUGAGAUGACCCACUCAAAAGUAUUGGGAAACCAUAAUAGGGUGAACCACACAUAAAAAGAUAUAUGUGGUGUUUGACAGUUUCUAACUGAAAUCUAAACAGUUCUUUCUAGCCUGAAAAUAUUGAUGCAAGAACUUUUAUAAAAAAAAUAGAUAUUUUUCAUUGUUAAUUUUAUAAUUUUUUAUUUGAUAUUAUUAUGCUUUUUUAAUUUUUUUCUAUUUAAAAAGAAUAUUUUUCCUAGUUUUUUUUUCAUAUUCUGUAAUAGGGUUUUUUAGUUUUUCUAUAUAAAGGGUUAUAAUAUUUUUUUGGAAAAUGAAGACUUGAAUGAGGAAAAAUUGAAUAUUUUAGGUGUCUCCCCUAUAAUUAUGGAGAGUUUUGACUUGUAAUAAAUUUGGUUAUCCUUAGAGCCCUGUCUGUCUGUGUCAAAAACACACAAAUAUCAUAAUAAAACUUGAAAAAAAAUAUUUAUCAAAACAUUACAUAGUUUUUUUUAGUAAAUAGAACUUCUAAAUAAUUUAUUUAUGAUCUAUAAUGUCAUAACCCAAUUUUUUAUUCUUUUUAAAAAGAAAAAAAAUAAAUGAAUAAAAAUAUAUUUGAUAAAUGGGUUAAGACAACAUAAAUAUGAAGUUCGAUGAUGGAAUUAUUAAAUUUGAGAGUCAAUUGGUCAGAAAUUGAAGAAUUAAUACGUUUGGGGACUUAAUUAAACUCUGAAUUAGUUUAAUUAAUGAAAUUAGGAGCUUAAUUGAAGAAAUACCAAAGUUUUGGGCUGAUUAGAGACAAAAUUUUAGGAAAUUAAAGUCCAAUGACCAUAGUGAAAUGGUGGGUGUACUUAAGGGAUUGUAACUGAUUUUUCCAUGUGUAAUUUUGAAAGAAUUAAAAGUUGAAAAGUCAAUUAAUGACCAAAUUGAAUAAUCCAGAAACCAAGGAUUGUUUUGUAAAUUUUGCCAUGAUCCAGGGGUUCAAUUGUAAUUAAUCCAGGGGUAAAAUUAAAAAAAAAAAGAAUGAAUUUACUGAAGAAAGGGCUUGAUUACAAAAGUUCAAAACUUGAGUGACCAAACUGCAAUUUGUCAGUUCCAUCCCAAACAACGCCGUUUUGAACCACUAUUCAUCGCCUUCUUCGUCUCCAGACCAGAGACUGAUUCAACAGGAAAACCGUUUUCAACCACGUCCCCCACGUCUCCUCAGCUGCAUUAUCCUCCAAGAGCCACGUUGAACAGUCCUGCAAAAGCAGGACUGUUAUUCCCCUGUUUCUUCUCAAAGAAACAGAGGUGUUCGUGCCUCACGAUCGUGAGGCACGAACACAUUAACAGGAGGUGGCCAUUCUCUGGUUUUAUAAAAGCCAGAGAAGGUCACACAGGGGGGAGGGGACUAAAGAAAAACACACAGAGAGAAAGACAUUGACGGGAAAAAAAAAGGAGAAGAAAACGGAAAAAGAACAAACCGAGAGCACAGAGACGGAGGUGCCCAGAAGAACACAUGGAGAAAAAGGAACUAAAUCCACAACCACAAAAAACUGUUAAAAGCUAGAGAGAUACGGUGAGUGGAUGACAUGCGGAAAUUUUUUUCAUAUUUGUUUUUGCUUUUUAAAAAUAUUUUUGAAAAAAUUUAAAAUUUUUUUAUUUUUUUCUUUGCUUUAAAAUAAUAUUUUUUUAGUGUUUUUAGAUUAUUUUGAUGCGUUGAUAUCAAAAAUAAUUUUUUAAAAAUUAAAAAAAAAUUAUUUUAUGUCUUAGUGGUUAAAAUUUUUAGGUUCUAAGAAAAAUAAGGAGACUCCAAAAUAUAGUAGAGUUUGGUAAAUCAAGCAUAACUUUUAAUCAAAUUAUUGGAUUGAGAUGAAAUUUUAACAAAGGAUUUUGAAGGUCAUGUUUCCUACUAAGUUGAAAAUUCAUAAUGAUUGAAAAUUGAAAAAACCUUUAAAUAAGACUCGAAAGUUAUUGUGCAUGGUAUUUUUAUUUACCUUGUUAUAUUUGGAUUUUUUUUCUAUUUAUCUUAGUACUUUUAAUUUAACUAGUAUUUUAUUAUUUAGGAAUCCUAGUGUUAUAUGGAUUUCAUUAGUUAGGUAAGUUUUAAUCAGUAAUCCUUUCUUAUAAAGGAUUUUAGGUUUAUAACUAGUAUAAAUAGAGAUGUCUAGUUUAUUUUUUUCAAACCAUAAUUUGUAGCUUUUCUUAACCUAUUUUUUCAAAUCACAACAAAAAAAAAAAAACUAUUACAAUGCCAAAGACACACUAAAAGCUAGAGAGAAAUGGUGAGUGGAUGACAUGGAGAAAUUUCUUCGAUAUUCUUGGCAUAAUAAUGUUUAUUGCAUUAUUUUAUUAGUAGUUAAAAUUUUUAGGUUUUGAGAAGAUUAAGGAAACUCCAAGAUAGAGUUUGGUAAAUCAAGUAUAACUUUUAAUCUAACUGUUAGAUUGAAUUAGAAUUUUGACAAAGGAUUUUGAAGGUCAUGUUUCUUGUUAAGUUAAAAAUUCAUGACGACUGGAAAUUGAAAAGACCUUUAAAUAAGACUUGAAAGUUUUUUUGCAGGAUUGUUUUUAUUUACCUUAUUAUAUUUGGAUUUUUUUUUCUAUUUAUCUUAGGACUUUUAAUUUAAAUAGUAUUUUAUUAUUUAGGAAUCCUAAUGUUAUAUGGAUUCUAUUAGUUAGGUAAGUUUUAAUUAGUAAUCAUUUCCUAUAAAGGAUUCUAGGUUCAUAACUAGUAUAAAUAGAGAUGUCUAGUUUAUUUUUUUCACAUUCAGACUAUUAUUCAAAAUUUAUAAAAUACCAUAGAGUUUUCUCUAAAUUUCUCUACAGCUUAGGCUUGUAACCUUAGGGCUUAAGGACUCUAGCUUUUAUCAACGUUAUACACCGCGUCAAUACAUAUCAGAGCAGGUUGGUCUUUUUGAUGGAUAGAGAUGAUAGUAACCCACUCCGCAAUGCAGGAGUGGAGACCCUUUUUUUUUUUUAGACCCUGGUAUCUAGAAGUCCAUUGUCCCUAACUAAUCAUGUCAAGCCAGGUCGGUCCACUAAGGGGUAAAGCUCUCCCGGUGAUGGUGUACUCCAUUCACAAGGCUCGAACUCUAGACCUUGCUUAAGGGGAACAAGCGUCGAACCACUUGAACCAAUCAUCAUUGGUGGAGUGGAGGCCCUCUAAUGCACUAUACUGGCUUAAGAGCAAAAAUUAGAUCGUUGGGAACGGAAGUUUGAUUACUCGGAGAAAACCAUAACAAAUCUAGCUCAGCUAAUGGGUUUCACAAACAAGGAUCGUGAAGAGGAUAGGAACUUGCCUAAAAAUUUACCUGGAGACAAGCCAAACCACAUACCUAUUCUUGAAUUCAAUGAGAUUACAUUCUAUGAUAGGAGAUUUUCGAAGAAAGGAUUUAUUAAAUGGUUAACAGAAUUGAAAGUUUACUUUUAUUUCAACAAGGUUCCUUAUCAUCAAAAGGUAGGACAUGUCGCACACAAACUUUAUUAUGGUGCUAGAGAAUGGUGAUUUGAAUUUCUGGACUUUAGAUCUCGUAUUGGUAUGUCUUUAAUUUCAGCUUGGUAAGAUUUAAGACAAUUAUUAAUUUUAGAGUUUAUACAAGAUGAUUAUAAAGAGAUUUUAUAUUGAGUAAAUAAGAAAUUAGAAUGUUAUUAUUUGUUUUUUAUUCAACCUUCUAAAAUAACAAGUAGAAAAUUAUAAAAAAAGAUGUCAUCUCUUCAAAGAAGAUAGUUUCAACAUCAUAAUAAUGACACCAACAACACUUCUGCAAAUACUAUUCUAUUUGUCGAUGUUUCAUCAAUUAAUGGUAAAGAAGAAAUCAAGAAGGCUCUUAAAUUAGUAUCUUGUAGUGAUUCUGAAGAUCUUGCAAAAAAGAAUAUGGAGUACAUGGUAAUUUCUGACAAUUCUUCUAAAGAUAUUAUGAAAAAUUAUCUUGAAGUUUCUUUACAUGCAAUGGUUAAAGUAUUGGAGAUCAUGGAUGAAUUCAAGUUUGAAGCAAAAGAAUGUGGGAAGAAACUAUAAGUGAAUUUCAUAGAAACAUAAAGUAUAAUAUUAAUAUGGAUUAUGUUUUAGUAUGCACACAUCAUAAAUUAAUUUUGGAGUUCACAUAUAAAAGACAUAUUACUUCGUGAAUAUAUCGGCUACAAUGUUGUAUUUUUGUUCCUUUAGAAAGGAAGAGUUCAGUUUUUAAUAGAUAGCUCGAGGACAAGUUUUUCAGAAGUAAAAGAAACUGGCAUGGGGAAAUUUCUUCAUUAUUCUUGAUAUAAUAAUAUUUAUUACAUUAUUUCAUUAGUGGUUAAGAUUUAUAGGUUUUAAGGAAUUUAAAAAGAGUUCAAGAUAUAGUUUGGUAAAUCAAGUAUAAUUUUUAAUUUAAUUGUUGGAUCGAGCCAAAAUUUUAACAAAAAAUUCUGAAAAUCUUAUUUUCUACUAGGUUAAAAUUUCAUAACAAUCAAAGAUCAUGAAAGCCUUCAAAUAAGGCUCAGAACUUAUUGUGCCGAAUUGUUUUUAAUUACCUUGUUGUAUUUAGAUUUUUUUUUCUAUUUUGCUUAGGUUUUUAAUUUAAAUAGUAUUUUAUUAUUUAAAAUUGUAUUUAGAUUUUUUUUAUUUUGCUUUGGAAUUUUAAUGUAAAUAAUAUUUUAUUAUUUAGAAUUGUAUUUGGAUUCUUUUUUUCUAUUUAGUUUUGAACUUUUAAUUUAAAUAGUAUUAUUUAAGAAUUCUAAUGCUAAAUAGAUUAUAUUAGAUACUUAAGUUUUAAUUAGGAAUCCUUUCAUUGAGGAUUUUAGUUUUAAUUAGAAAUCCUUUCUUAUAAAAAAGAAUUCUAAGUCUAUAAUUAGUAUAAAUAGAAAUAUCUAGUUAAUUUUAUUCAUAUUUAAAAUUUAUAAAAUAUUAUAAGUAGUCUCGAAAUUUCUCUACCGCAUAGAUACGUAAUUUUAGAGCUCGAAAAGCGUCAGUGGACAUCUUGUAAUUGAAAUCCGCUAUGUAUCCAGGCCAUUUACUAAAUAGGUUAAAAGGGGAGAAAGCGAGGGGACGCUGCAAAAUCCUAAGAUCUUCAUUGAGUUCUAAUACAGAAUAAUAAACUUAAAAGAAGAUGGACAAAAUAUGAACUCUACUCAUUCAAGCCUCGAAGCCACCACUUGAGCCUGCUAAGCUAUGAAAGUGUUAAAAAGCUUUUCAUUGAGUGCAAAGAACCGUGAGACUAAUGCUCUUGAUAUAAUGCAUCAGAAGCUGCAAUAUACAUCUGACUGGUAAAGAUGUAUAUUUCUUGCUUUUAUACAUCAGAAGCUUUUCAUUUCUUGCUUGCUUUGAAAUGUCUUCAGCUGCUUUGACUGCUUCAGAAGAGAAAAUAUCCAGCUUCUUCAAUCCAUUUCUUAGCCUCUCGUUCUGAUGCGUCUUUGUAAACGUGUUCAGGGAAAUAUUAAUUUCCAGUUAAUAUCACUUCAUGGUAGACAAUUGAGGUCUCCAUCUGUUUCCUCUGUUUGUUGUUGGAGGAGAGGGUUUGGUUGGGAGUGGGGGGGAGAAAUCUCGUUCAAGGAAGCAAGUUUAAGAUAAUUAAUGAAUGUUUGGUAAUUGUCGCGAAAAUAUAAAAGACAAACAUAAUACGAAUAAAAGAAACAUGUUUCUUUGUCUUUUCUAUUUAAAAAAUAAGUAAUUCACUCUAAAACAAUUAUAUAAAUAUAUUUAUUUUAUAUCUUUAUCUUCGUUUCUUCAUCCAAAUAUAUAUUUAUCAUCUCUAUAUUUAUUAUUUUGAAAUACUAAUUAAUCACGUUUUAAAAUAUUUUUUGUUCAAUUUAAACAUGCAUUCUAUUUCGAGUAUCAUUCAUUAAAACAUGGUUAAAAAAAUUUAGAUGUGGGGUUCAAAGAAAAUGUUAAUUUGAAAGUAAAGUAUACUUUUUUUAACACAAAUUAGAACAUAGAUCAUUGCUUCAAACAUGUUGGUUCAAUGUUAGUUGUGUUGGAAUUAAAAACAAAGUUAACGAAUCAUUUAAAGACAAAUGAUAAUACGUGUAGAAGAAUGUGCAUGAAGCAAAACGCAGUCACGACAUUAAAACAAACAGAUAUUAUUGUAGUGAUUAUUUUUGUAAUUUAAUUGUAUUUUUAAAGGUUUUUUAUUUUUUUUGUUUUAAAUUAAUUUAUUUUAUGUGUUUUUUUAAUUGUUUUGAUGUUGUAAUAUCAAAACUAAAUUUUAAAAAAUAUAUAAAAAAUAUUUUAAUACAUUUAUAAGUAAAAUACAAUUUAAAAGUAAUCAUAUACAUUACCUAAUUAGUCUUACUAACUGUAUGUGUUUCUUCUUGGCGUCUUCUCCUUUUAUAGUCUUCCUCUUAUGGCAUAAAUUUAUUUACACUCUUGCUUUUCCCUGUAUAUAAAUCCGCACUGGGCUUACCGGCAUUGGAAGUGUAGAGAGCAAAUCCCCAACCUCUCACUAUCUUUUAUCCAAGGAUUUAAUUUGCUUGCUUAUCUCACUUUGUUCCAGUUUGAGUUUCUUUGGAGCAAGACAGAACUCCAGUGUUCAAUUAGGUUGACAGAGUAACUGUGAGCUUACAUAAUUGCUCCAAAGAGAUUGCUCAGUGGGAACCUGCAGCAGCUUUAAGACUCCCUGUCGAGGAGUUGGAAGCUUAACAAGCCAAGCUCAUAUGGUGACUCUAUUUUCCUAGAGCCAUGUAUUCGUGUUGGUGAUGUUACGAGGAUCAAGAGUGUGCGUUCAUGCAAGGAUCAGGUAUGUAGAGUCUCUUAAGGCAGUAUUUCUUAGCUGGAGAAUAUGUCAACUUCACUACUUGCUUGCAUGCUAUUAAUUUCCAGAUACAAUGUUUAAAUAUCUGAAAACGGUCCCACCCCAUAGGUUCACCUGCACACACAAGUCCUGAACUGUUAACGUUGUUAUAUGAUGUCUCAGUAGCAUAUUUCCCGCUGGUUGCGCAUGAUCCAAAUUCCAUAUCAACUAGCAAAAAGAUAUGUGCUCGAGGACCACGCAUUUACUAGAUUUUCAGCAUGGAAUGUCAUGCUAAAGGUUAUUUUGGAAAUUGUUUGCUUGCUUUGAAAUGUCUUCGGCUGCUUUGACUACUUCAGAAGAGAAAAUAUCCAGCAUCUUCAAUCCAUUUCUUAGCCUCUCAUUCUGAUGCGUCUUUGAAACGUAGCAUGGAAAUAUUCAUAUGAACUCAUUUAUCUUUCUGGUUCCACAAUCCUUUUUGGAAUUUUAAAAAAAAAUUAAUAACCUCCAUAUCAACUAGGAAAAAGAUAUGUGCUCUAGGACCACGCAUUUCCCUUUUGCUCAAAAACUACUAGAUUUUCAGCAUGGAAUGUCAUGCUAAAGGUUAUUUUGGAAAUCGUUUGCUUGUUCUGAAAUGUCUUCGGCUGCUUUGACUGCUUCAGAAUAGAAAAUAUCCAGCAUCUUCAAUCCAUUUCUUAGCCUCCCAUUCUGAUGCGUCUUUUAAACGUAUCGUGGAAAUAUUCAUAUGAACUCAUUGAUCUUUCUGGUUCCAGAAUCCUUUUCGGAAUUUUUUAAAAGACUUUUAAUAACUUCCAUCUCACUAGCUCUUAAUAAAUUUGUAGUUUCCUUUUUUUCUCAGUUGGUUGCAAAUACUGGUUGAGCUACAGGGUGAUAUCUUCUUCUUUCAGAGCCAGUAAAUUAUCUGAAGUUGCAAAGGUGGAGGUCUGCUAAGUGGUAGCUCACAAACAAGCAUAAUCUUGUAAGUUACAGAAAUGGCUCUGGGUUCGUUUAAGAAGGUUGUCUUAGGUUCAGUUGCCUUCGCAAUCUUUUGGAUUUUGGCAGUUUUCCCAGCAGUUCCUUUCUUACCCAUUGGAAGGACAGCAGGUUCCAUCCUCGGGGCAAUUCUUAUGGUUAUCUUCAAAGUCAUCACCCCUGAGCAAGCAUAUUCUGCCAUCAACCUCCCUGUACUGGGCCUUCUCUUUGGAACCAUGGUUGUAAGCAUCUAUCUUGAAAGAGCAGACAUGUUCAAGCACUUGGGAGUCUUGUUCUCAUGGAAGAGUUGGGGUGCGAAGGACAUGCUCUGCCGGAUCUGCAUUGUUUCUGCCAUUUCAAGUGCUCUGUUCACUAAUGACACCGCAUGUUUCUUUCUCACUGAGUUCAUAAUAAAGAUUGCUAGACAAAACAAUAUUCGACCCGAACCUUUCUUGCUUGGGUUGGCUUCAAGUUCGAAUAUUGGAUCCUCUGCAACUCCAAUCGGCAACCCUCAAAACUUGAUAAUUGCUAUUCAAAGUGGCAUCUCUUUUGGGGAAUUCGUAUUGGGACUUCUUCCCGCGGUGCUUGUGGGUGUCUUUGUGAAUGCUUUAAUUCUUAUAUGCAUGUUUUGGAGGUUGUUAUCUGAUGUUAAGGAAGAAGAAGAUGCUUUGUAUGAAAUGAUUGUUCAGGAAGAUUCAGAGUCCGGGCCGCAACAGUCCACUGAAGAAAGUAAAGGCCUGCUGAAUAGAUGGAAGAGAUUGUGUAUUUACCUUGGUACUGUUGGAAUGCUGGUUGCUUUUAUAAUGGGUUUGGACAUGUCUUGGACUGCACUCACAGCAGCCCUCAGUUUUGCGAUUCUUGAUUUCGAAGAUGCAGGGCCUUGCCUACAGAAGGUA